CACUAGAUGACUGAAAAUAAGUGAUGGUCUCUUAAACCAUAUCAUAGUAACAUAAUAACUACUUCUAGUGA
rnacentral:tRNA from 1 species